UUUACAUCAAAUUUCAAACAAUGUAAUAACAAAUACAAAUGUCAUGUUGAUAAGCCAAAAUAUGCCGAAGUACACCGAAAUUAUGUAGUAAAAAUUAGUCAAGUGGAAAAAAUUGGGACAUUUUAAAAUGGUAUCACGAAUUUAUCAAGCCAUUGCAAAUCUUUUAGUGGACGAAAAAUCUGUUGAAGAAAUAGGCGAUCCUUUGGAUUUUGAAUCUGGACCUUUUUUGGAUUGUGGAAUAUCUUGGGUGUACACAUUCAAGAAGUUUAUUAUUCCAAGAGAACACAGGCCAAGUAGUCAUGGGUAUACUUGCCCUCCAAAAUGUAAGCGGAGAUCAAUCUGUAAAACUUGAGAAAUACAUUUAAAAUAAAAUAGAAUAAAUCUUCAUGAAUAAA